AUGGAGCUCCUUGUGCUCAUUGCUCUGCUUCUCUUGGGCUUGACCGUACUGAUCAGGCGGCGUAGCUACACCUACACUACUAGUACCAGUCGUGCCCGUGCUCCAGCUGCUGUGGUGAUCCAGAAGAUCGCCGAUCCCGCGGUAGCCCACCGUGCGCUCGUCGAGAACGCCGACGACUUCUCGGACCGCCCGGUGGCGCCCUUUCUGGUGUUUCUGGAGAAGAAACACGGCCAGUACGGCGACGGCCUAGCCUCCGCGCCGUACGGCCCUCUCUGGCGUGCAUUCCGGUGCAACAUCACCUCCGAGACCCUCCACCCGUCGCGCCUCGAGCACGUCACGCCGCUGCAGCGGGAGGCCAUCCAUGGCCUCGUCGCCGCUUUGGGGAAGGAACUGCCGGUGAUCGCCAUCGUCCGCGACCACCUCUACCCUUCCAUCUUCUCGGUACUCGCGCGCCUGUGCUUCGGCGACGACGUGGACGAGGGGCAUGUGCGCGCCAUGGGCUGCUUGAUACGGGAGUUCCAGCAGGUCGCCGUCGGAGAGGCUCGGGCUUCGCCUGGCACCAUGUUGGCCAAGCUCGCGGAGUGGAGACGAUUGCGCCGACUCUCGGCCAUACAUGGCAGGUUGGGCGAGUUGUACCUCCCUCUUGUCGACUCACGGCGGGAGUCUCGACCGACAUGCGACGGUGGCGGCCGUCGUCCAUACGUCGACUCGCUCAUCGACCUACGUGUCCCCGACGGAGGCAAGGGUGACGGUGCAGGCCGACGUGCUGUUAGGGACGAUGAGUUCGUGAACCUGCUGUCAGAGUUUCUGGGCGCUGGCACGGGGACGGUGAUGGCAAGCCUGGAAUGGACCCUCGCCCACCUGGUAAAUGACCAGGAGAUCCAGAAAAAGCUUCGGGACGAGGUGGACGGCGCCGGCGGGGCCGUGGCCGCCAGCUCCAGCAGGAGGCUCAUCCGUGGCAUGCCGUAUCUGAACGCCGUCGUUCUCGAGACCCUCCGCCUGCAUCCGCAGGUGCCCUUCGUCCAGCGCCAUGUCAACGCCGACGCAGCGGAGGUGCUCGGAGUCGGAGGAAAAACCACCGGCGACUUCAUUGCACAGUUCACUGUUGGAGACAUGGGAAGGGACGGCAAGACGUGGACGGACCCCGACGAGUUCCGGCCAGAGCGGUUCCUUCCCGGCGGUGAGGCAGAGGACGUCGGCCCUUUGCCGGGGACGAAGGAUAUAAGGAUGAUGCCAUUCGGCGCCGGGCAUAGGUUCUGCCCGGGCGUGGGUCUCGCCAUGAUGAACAUCAAGUGCUUCCUGGCUGCGCUCGUGGGUGAGUUCGAGUGGGCGCCGCCGACGGGGGGCUGUGCCGGCGUCGACCUGACAGAGCUCAACACCUUCAUCAAGGCGAUGAAGAAGCCACUUUCCGCACGUCUCACGCGACACACUUAA
rnacentral:rRNA from 1 species